GACGUAGGUGGCGAACGUUAUCCGGAAUUAUUGGGUUUAAAGGGUGCGUAGGCGGCCUUGUAAGUCAGUGCUGAAAUAUCCCGGCUUAACCGGGAGGGUGGCAUUGAUACUGCAGGGCUUGAGUAAAGUUGAGGUUGGCGGAAUUGACGGUGUAGCGGUGAAAUGCUUAGAUAUCGUCAAGAACACCGAUAGUGAAGACAGCUAACUAAGCUUUAACUGACGCUGAGGCACGAAAGUGUGGGGAUCAAACAGG
rnacentral:rRNA from 1 species